UGAGGUAGUAGGUUGUAUAGUACUGUAUUACAACACUUGGGAGAGACUGUAUAGCCUGCUAACUUUCC
rnacentral:pre_miRNA from 1 species